GGGUACGACCAUACUUAGCUGAAAACACCAUAUCCCGUCCGAUUUGUGAAGUUAAGCAGCCACAGGCUCCGUUAGUACUGAGGUCAGUGAUGACUCGGGAACCCGAAGUGUCUGUACUCCCAAAACACACCUUUUCCCCACCACCACAGAAGCUCUCUAUAGUGCCGCACCGCCGGUAGCCCCGUUGCCGCACGAGAGAGGCCACGGCCCAGACGAGCACCACAGAGGCGUCCAUAGUGCCGCACCGUGUGUACACGGGACGCAAGUGUGGUGGUGGUGGUGGGGGAACGGGACACGACCGACCAACCGGCGAAGCCCAGAGCCCCCACGGGAGCUCCUAUAGUGCCGAGGUGCGCGUAGCCCGCCGUCCCCCAGACCCCACCCCCGGACCCCACGCCAGACCACCCACUUCCCCACACU
rnacentral:misc_RNA from 1 species